rnacentral:rRNA from 1 species
GACGAACGCUGGCGGCGUGCUUAACACAUGCAAGUCGAACGAUGAACCCGGAGCUUGCUCCGGCGGAUUAGUGGCGAACGGGUGAGUAACACGUGAGUAACCUGCCCUUGACUCUGGGAUAACUGCUAGAAAUGGUAGCUAAUACCGGAUACGACCCUCGGUGGCAUCCAGGGGGUGGAAAGAAUUUCGGUCAAGGAUGGACUCGCGGCCUAUCAGCUAGUUGGUGAGGUAACGGCUCACCAAGGCGACGACGGGUAGCCGGCCUGAGAGGGUGACCGGCGACACUGGGACUGAGACACGGCCCAGACUCCUACGGGAGGCAGCAGUGGGGAAUAUUGCACAAUGGGCGCAAGCCUGAUGCAGCGACGCCGCGUGAGGGAUGACGGCCUUCGGGUUGUAAACCUCUUUCAGCACCGACGAAGCGCAAGUGACGGUAGGUGCAGAAGAAGGACCGGCCAACUACGUGCCAGCCGCCGCGGUAA